ACUGCUCAGUAACACGUGGAUAACCUGCCCUUGGGUCCGGCAUAACCCCGGGAAACUGGGGAUAAUUCCGGAUAACGCACAUAUGCUGGAAUGCUUUAUGCGUAAAAUGGAUUCGUCUGCCCAAGGAUGGGUCUGCGGCCUAUCAGGUAGUAGUGGGUGUAAUGUACCUACUAGCCAACAACGGGUACGGGUUGUGAGAGCAAGAGCCCGGAGAUGGAUUCUGAGACAUGAAUCCAGGCCCUACGGGGCGCAGCAGGCGCGAAAACUUUACAAUGCGGGAAACCGUGAUAAGGGGACACCGAGUGCCAGCGUCAUACGCUGGCUGUCCAGGUGUGUAAAAUACACCUGUUAGCAAGGGCCGGGCAAGACCGGUGCCAGCCGCCGCGGUAACACCGGCGGCCCGAGUGGUGAUCGUGAUUAUUGGGUCUAAAGGGUCCGUAGCCGGUUUGGUCAGUCCUCCGGGAAAUCUGAUAGCUCAACUAUUAGGCUUUCGGGGGAUACUGCCAGACUUGGAACCGGGAGAGGUAAGAGGUACUACAGGGGUAGGAGUGAAAUCUUGUAAUCCCUGUGGGACCACCUGUGGCGAAGGCGUCUUACCAGAACGGGUUCGACGGUGAGGGACGAAAGCUGGGGGCACGAACCGGAUUAGAUACCCGGGUAGUCCCAGCCGUAAACGAUGCUCGCUAGGUGUCAGGCAUGGCGCGACCGUGUCUGGUGCCGCAGGGAAGCCGUGAAGCGAGCCACCUGGGAAGUACGGCCGCAAGGCUGAAACUUAAAGGAAUUGGCGGGGGAGCAC
rnacentral:rRNA from 2 species